UUUCUCGACUUGCAGGAGCCGGAGUGGGGCCUGCAAAACUCAAAUGGAGAGGAAGUUAAGCAGUCUAGCCUAACUUCAGAGCCUGUUAAUUUCCUGUUCAGAGGACAUUCUCAGAUACGUGAAAAGGAUCUCAUGGCACCGAGCUGUAGAGUAGGAGAAAUGAACUGGAAGAAAUGGAUGUCACCACAGCUCAGAUGCUUGUGACAUGUGACCUGUGUGGACUGGAAAAGUUUUGUUUGCAUGUGGGCAGAUUUGUGCAGCACCCAUUCUGGUUCCUAUGUUGAAGCCCUGACCCCCAAGAAACAAGGCACUAGAAACAACAGAAUUCAAAAUACCAACCUGGCUGAAUGGAGGCAGUUUGGAAGCAGAUAUUAAGAAUUCAGACAUCAUCGCCUGAGAACCCUGCUGCCCUUGUUACUGCAGUAGUGAAGCAUUUUGUCAAUCUGUUUACUACUGUACCUUGGCAAUCAGACUGCAUGCUGACCAAAGUUGAAGUGUCGGGAAAAUGAUAUGAAAAUUAAAAACCCUGAUAUGUGCUAGUCUCUUCCUGCUGUUCUCUGCAGAUUCCUUCAAGAGAAAAAGGAGCUCACAUUAGAGCUAGCCAUACUAAAAGCACAGAUGGAGAGAAAAACCAACUUACUAAGGAAGAUACUCCUACCUACAGUCUGCAAUCUGGAUUGAAUAGGACACUCAUAGUUUAGGUCUUGCAGUAUUGAAAAAGUAUCUAGAGCAAUAUUGAAAAAGCCAAAUGCAUUUGUGCCCCAAACUGAAACAGUUACCAGCAGUAGCUGUAAAAUUGCUGUCUUUACAAGAGAUAAGACUGAUAUCCUUUCAUAGAAAAUUAAGAACUUGCUAACAAAUAGAGGAUUACAGGUAUUAUAUUUCUGUCCAAGCACAUUGUAUCAGAUGCCUCAAGGAAGUGAUUGUCUAUUUGAGAAGGCAAAGCUUAGUAAAGCCCAGAGGCCAGUAAAUAAAGAUGAGACC